GUAGUCAUAUGCUUGUCUCAAAGAUUAAGCCAUGCAUGUCUAAGUAUAAGCAAUUAUACCGUGAAACUGCGAAUGGCUCAUUAAAUCAGUUAUCGUUUAUUUGAUAGUACCUUACUACUUGGAUAACCGUGGUAAUUCUAGAGCUAAUACAUGCUGAAAACCCCAACUUCGGAAGGGGUGUAUUUAUUAGAUAAAAAACCAAUGCCCUUCGGGGCUCCUUGGUGACUCAUAAUAACUUCUCAGAUCGCAUGGCCUUGCGCCGGCGACGGUUCAUUCAAAUUUCUGCCCUAUCAACUUUCGAUGGUAAGGUAUUGGCUUACCAUGGUUUCAACGGGUAACGGGGAAUUAGGGUUCGAUUCCGGAGAGGGAGCCUGAGAAACGGCUACCACAUCCAAGGAAGGCAGCAGGCGCGCAAAUUACCCGAUCCCGACACGGGGAGUUAGUGACAAUAAAUACUGAUACAGGGCUCUUUUGGGUCUUGUAAUUGGAAUGAGUACAAUUUAAACCCCUUAACGAGGAACAAUUGGGGGGCAAGUCUGGUGCCAGCAGCC
rnacentral:rRNA from 1 species